rnacentral:rRNA from 1 species
GACGAACGCUGGCGGCGUGCUUAACACAUGCAAGUCGAACGGAAAGGCCCUGCUUUUGUGGGGUGCUCGAGUGGCGAACGGGUGAGUAACACGUGAGUAACCUGCCCUUGACUUUGGGAUAACUUCAGGAAACUGGGGCUAAUACCGGAUAGGAGCUCCUGCUGCAUGGUGGGGGUUGGAAAGUUUCGGCGGUUGGGGAUGGACUCGCGGCUUAUCAGCUUGUUGGUGGGGUAGUGGCUUACCAAGGCUUUGACGGGUAGCCGGCCUGAGAGGGUGACCGGCCACAUUGGGACUGAGAUACGGCGCAGACUCCUACGGGAGGCAGCAGUGGAGAAUAUUGCACAAUGGGCGGAAGCCUGAGGCAGCAACGCCGCGUGCGGGAUGACGGCCUUCGGGUGGUAAACCGCUUUCGCCUGUGACGAAGCGUGAGUGACGGUAAUGGGUAAAGAAGCACCGGCUAACUACGUG